GGUGGGCAUUGUGGCGGGCGCCUGUAAUCCCAGCUACCUGGGAGGCUGAGGCAGGAGACUCACUUGAGCCCAGGAGUUGGAGGUUGCUGUGAGCUGUGAUGCCAUGGCACUCUACCCAGGGGGAUAGCUUGAGGCUCUGUCUCAAAAAAAAAAAAAAAGACAGAGUCCCACCAUGUCACCCUUGGUAGAGUGCUGUGGCAUCACAGCUCACAGCAACCUCAAACUCCUAAGCGAUUCUCUUGCCU
rnacentral:sRNA from 1 species